CAGCAGCCGCGGUAAUACGAAGGGUGCAAGCGUUAAUCGGAAUUACUGGGCGUAAAGCGUGCGUAGGCGGUUUGUUAAGUCCGUUGUGAAAUCCCCGGGCUCAACCUGGGAAUGGCAAUGGAUACUGGCAAGCUAGAGUGUGUCAGAGGAUGGUGGAAUUCCCGGUGUAGCGGUGAAAUGCGUAGAGAUCGGGAGGAACAUCAGUGGCGAAGGCGGCCAUCUGGGACAACACUGACGCUGAGGCACGAAAGCGUGGGGAGCAAACAGGAUUAGAUACCCGCGUAGUCCCUGUCUCUUAUAC
rnacentral:rRNA from 1 species